rnacentral:rRNA from 1 species
GUCGAACGGUAGAGGGGGCAACCCCUCGAGAGUGGCGAACGGGUGAGUAAUAUAUCGGAACGUGCCCAGUCGUGGGGGAUAACGUAGCGAAAGUUACGCUAAUACCGCAUACGAUCUACGGAUGAAAGCGGGGGAUCGCAAGACCUCGCGCGAUUGGAGCGGCCGAUAUCAGAUUAGGUAGUUGGUGGGGUAAAGGCUCACCAAGCCAACGAUCUGUAGCUGGUCUGAGAGGACGACCAGCCACACUGGAACUGAGACACGGUCCAGACUCCUACGGGAGGCAGCAGUGGGGAAUUUUGGACAAUGGACGCAAGUCUGAUCCAGCCAUUCCGCGUGCAGGAUGAAGGCCCUCGGGUUGUAAACUGCUUUUGUACGGAACGAAAAGGUUUCUAUUAAUACUAGGAGCUCAUGACGGUACCGUAAGAAUAAGCACCGGCUAACUACGUGCCAGCAGCCGCGGUAAUACGUAGGGUGCAAGCGUUAAUCGGAAUUACUGGGCGUAAAGCGUGCGCAGGCGGUUAUGUAAGACAGAGGUGAAAUCCCCGGGCUCAACCUGGGAACUGCCUUUGUGACUGCAUAGCUAGAGUACGGUAGAGGGGGAUGGAAUUCCGCGUGUAGCAGUGAAAUGCGUAGAUAUGCGGAGGAACACCGAUGGCGAAGGCAAUCCCCUGGACCUGUACUGACGCUCAUGCACGAAAGCGUGGGGAGCAAACAGGAUUAGAUACCCUGGUAGUCCACGCCCUAAACGAU